rnacentral:antisense_RNA from 1 species
CUUCAGGAUUCUCAGGCUUCCCUCCGGGAGACUUUUCUCCAGUCUUGUCUCGCUCCAACCUCCUACCCCCACCCCAUUCCUCAGUGCAUUCGUGAAUUUCUCCAAGCAGGCCUUUCCAGAUCGACACUAAGUUCCAAUCCCGAGCUGUGUGACCCAGCACCAAUUCAGUCACGAUGAUGACUUGCGAUUGCUUAAUCAGUUUGCCUUUCCUCCUAGCUGUGAGGUUUACUGUGCAGGAUUGCAAACACCAGAGAGAAAAUCAGUCUCUGGAUUGAUGCCUUUGAUGGACCAAGAUGCAGCUGAUGAAGCAUUGAACCAAUUAGCACCUAGCAGGAGGGCACCCUUGGUCUGUGUCCUUGAAGGUUAAAGCUGUCAAAAAGUGGUCUCCCUCAAGUUCGGCCAUCUUGCUCUCAGAGAUCUAGAACUGGUAGGAGAAUAUAGCCUUGAUAGUGGAGAGGAGACUAUUGCUGUUGUGAGGGACUGAGAGAACCAGGCAGAGAGCCCAGAUUGACACAGCAGGUGAGAAAAGAGGCGCGCCUAUCUUGGGGAAUACGGAGGAACGGAGGAAGGUGAGACCAGGAGAAAGAGCAGGGGGGCGGGUGAGCAGGCCGGGCGCCGUGGCUCACGCCUGUAAUCCCAGCACUUUGGGAGGCCCAGGCAGGCGGAUCACAAGGUCAGGAGUUCGAGACCAGCCUGGCCAAUAUGGUGAAACCCUGUCUCUACUAAAAAUACAAAAAUUAGCUGGGCGUGGUGGCGGGUGCCUGUAGUCCCAGCUACUCGGAAGGCUGAGGCAGGAGAAUCGCUUGAACCCGGAACCCGGGAGGCAGAGGUUGCGGUGAGCCGAGAUGGCGCCAUUGCACUCUAGCCUGGGCGACGGACUGAGACUUCGUCUCAAAAAAGGGAGUGACUAUGUUGCUUUUGCUUUCUUGGAAGUCUUUUUUCUUAGUAAUUUUCCUAAAGUAAUUUCCUUAGGAAAUAAUGUAUUGCUAAGAGUAUUGCAACUUUUAGUAUUGACGAGGUGCUUUUACUGAA